AUUGCACGCUGGCGGCAGGCCUAACACAUGCAAGUCGAACGAGUGGCGGACGGGUGAGUAAUGUCUGGGAAACUGCCCGAUGGAGGGGGAUAACUACUGGAAACAGUAGCUAAUACCGCAUACCAUCGGAUGAGCCCAUAUGGGAUUAGCGAGUAGGUGGGGUAACCGAUGACCUAGGCGAAGAUCCAUAGCUGUUCUGAGAGGAUGACCAGCCACCCUGGAACUGUGACACGGUCCAGACUCCGACGUGAGGCAGCAGUGGGGAAUAUUGCACAAGGGGCGCAAGCCUGAUGCAGCCAUGCCGCGUGUAGGAAGAAGGCCUUCGGGUUGUAAAGUACUUUCAGCUAGGAGGCGUUACUCGCAGAAGAAGCACCGGCUAACUCCGUGCCAGCAGCCGCGGUAAUUC
rnacentral:rRNA from 1 species